rnacentral:lncRNA from 1 species
GUUGUCGGGUGAUGGUGCGCUCGAGGGACACAAGGCCUAGGUAAGAUGGCUUGACCUGCCGAGGCAGCCAAUCCUCAUGUCGAAGGGGUCAAGUCAAAGGGGUCAUCCAUUGACAAAUCAUGGGUAUGUGUCACGCCCAAGAUGCGAUCCUAUCCUCAAUUUGUCACGAGGGCCUCGUCAGGGAUAGAAGCGCAUCUCGUCGUUUCGCAAGAAUGGAUAUCGUUACAAGUACAUGUACUGAAAAGAUGAGAUAUAUAGAAUUGGCUUACACUCGCCACAAGCUACAUCAGAGUCACAUCAGUACAAUACAUAAAUAACACGAAAAAGAGCAGGGACUACAGA